rnacentral:rRNA from 1 species
UCUUGGUCAUUUAGAGGAAGUAAAAGUCGUAACAAGGUUUCCGUAGGUGAACCUGCGGAAGGAUCAUUACAAAAUCCGGUUUGGGUUGGUGGUGGGGGUUAGAUUGUGGGUAGAAGGGAAUUUUCUCUUCUACUACUCUACUUACUACCCGCCCCCCCCUCAUCAUUUGCGCUUGUAUUGUUUGACAGAGUAAUUUUCUUUACAUAAAUGACAACUUUUAACAAUGGAUCUCUGGGCUCUUGCAACGAUGAAGAACGCAGCAAAAUGCGAUACGUAGUGCGAUUUGCAUUAUUUGCGAGUCAUCAAAUCUUUGAACGCAACUUGCGCCUGUUUCGUACAGGCAUGUCUAUUUGAGUACCGUAACCAAAGAAUCAGUUGCUCUGAAGAGCUAAAGAUGGCAUGUAUAUUGUGAGUUUGAAGCUAGAGACCAUCGGUCUUGUUCAUUCUCUCCAUUUUAUACCGGUCUCAAAUUAGGCAAGAUUACCCGCUGAACUAAGCAUAUCAUAAGCGGAGGAA